AAUAAUAUAAUAAUAUUAUAAUAAGUUAAAGUUAAUUAAUUAUUUUAAAUAGUUUAACAAAAGAAUUAUUAUUAUUUAAUUAAAGGGAAUAUUAAAAGACAUUAAAGCUCUGAUGUCAGGCUAGAUUAAAUACUAUAUAGGGAUAUAACACAUGCUAAUCAAACGAUUAAUAAUAUGUUAAAUAUUAAUAUUAAUCAUGUGGUGUAUAGGUGAGUAAAAAAUGAAAUUAGAACUAUUAAUAAAUUUAAAUGAUUUAUAAAUUAUUUAUAUAUUUUUUUUUAUAUAGAUAAAUAAAGAUUAUAUUUAAGUAUAUAAUUGUUAAUAGUCAAGUCAUUAUUAGUAUAGGUAUUAUGUAGUGUAAAAGACAUACAUAGCCGACGAUCUAUAAUAAUUAAUUAGCGUUAUAAUUAUCACAUCAAUUUAUAUUGAUAUCUAUAGGAUACAGCAGUGAAGAAUAUUGGACAAUGAUCGAAAGAUUGAUCCAGUUACCUAUAAUAACGAAUUUUCAAUAUUAUUUUAUAAAUUUAUUUAUAAUAAGAACAGAAAUAAUUGGUAAAAAUUAAAGUUAUAAGUCUACGAGAAUAAUGAUAGUAGUAAAAAAUGUUUAUUUUUAAUAAGCAUGACUUAGCAGUCCCUGCUAAAAGGCGUGCCAGCAGUAGCGGUUAUACGCUGGGGGCAAGUAUUAAUCAUAUUGGUUUAAAGGGUCCGCAGAAUUUUUCUUAUUAAUAAGAAAUAGAAUUAAUAAUAGUAACAAAUGAAUUAUAAUAGUAAUGAUGAAAUAUUAUAAUAAUUAUAGGACAGACAUAAGCGAAAGUAUUUGUUAUAUAUUAAUUGACAUUGAGGGACGAAGGCUAUAAUAACGAAACGGAUUCGAUACCCGAUUAAUUAUAGCAGUAAACGAUGAAUACUCAAUUAUAUUUAGAUAUGGAUAUAAUUAACGAGAAAUCUUAAGUAUUCCACCAGGAGAGUAUAGUUACUCAAUUGAAACCCAAUACAAUAGACGGUUAUAAUCAAUAGCAGUGGAGUAUGUUAUUUAAUUUGACGAUCCCCAAAAAUCUUACCACAUUUUGAAUAUAUUAACUAUUUAUAGUUAAUAAACAGGCGUUACAUAGUUGUCUUCAGUUCGUGCUGUGAAGUUUACGGUUAGUUCCAUUAACGAACGAAUUCCUAUAUAAAUAAUUCCAAAUAUUUAUAAUUUACUAUUUAAAUGCAUAGUAAGAAUAGGGUUAAGACAAAUCCUUAUGACCCUAAUAAUGUGGGCCAUAGACGUACUAUAAAAGAAUAAAUAAAAUUAAAUGAAAUUCAUAUAUAAAAAUGAAAUAAAAAAUAAAACUUAUUCUAAUAUGUUAUAUAUAAAUAUAUUAUAUUAGUAUGAAUUAUAUUCUGAAAUUCGAAUAUAUGAAAAAAGAAUUGCUAGUAAUCAGUUAUAAAGUAAAUAACGGUGAAUAUUAUUAAUUGUUUCGCACUAAUUACUCGUCACGCGAUAAAUUAUUAUCAAUUAUAAAAAUAACAAUUGGUAUUUAUUAUUAUUAUUUUUUAAUAAUAUUUAAUAUAUAUUAAUUCUAUUUAAUAGUCGGUUAUAUAUUAUUGCGAAGUCGAAAUACAGUUACUGUAGGGGAACCUGCAGUGGGCUAUAAAUUAUCUAUUUUCAUAUUCCAAACA
rnacentral:ncRNA from 1 species